AAAUAAAAAUUCAGCUGGCUCUUAAUAUUUCAUUUUACAGUCAAUCACGUAUCCACGCAAACCCUAACCUCUCCAUAACUUCAUCUGUUCUCAAGGUCCGCCGCCUCCCGCUUCCGCCAUCAUUGAUACAAGCACAGUCCAUUUCCUUGCUCCAUUUGUACAUCAAUAAUCACUCUCAAUUAACUAUCCCCACCCACCAUCUCAAAAUUUUUUACAGAUGCCAUGUCCAAUUUUUGGUUUUACUUCCUUGGCUCUCUAAUAGUUUGUAACAGAUUUUAUGGCAAAUGGAAGUAAGAAUUAUGAGGUUCAUUUAUUCUCAGGAAGGAGUCUUGGCCAGUAGUGACAGUCGAGUAUUUAUGCGUAUAGAGUAGUCGUAGAGAUGCCAGACACCACAUGCUUGGUCGCCUCGACUCCAUUUUUGCCAAGGAGCUCUUGAUUGGUCAAAAGUGAUGGUGGUCAGUUGUGACGAAAUAUGCUUUUGUAGUGGACUCGUCCUCCACAAGAUGAAGUACCUACGCUUCCUCCGUAAGAAUGUGAACCCCAAGCCGUCUUAUGACUUGAUCUGCUUCUGGGCUCCUUUCAAGAUUCUCUGGCCACCAUGCACUGGUAUGGAAGUCAACAUUUUCACGAAAUUAUUUAACAAGAUGUAUUUAUCUAUGAAUUUCUAUCUUAAAAAGAAUGCUAGUUGAAAUUUUAUUUAUUUAAUUGCGUUUACAUGUUUAGUUUUUUGAUUGAGGUGUAUUGCUCAUUUGGGUGUUUCUGUUUAUGUGAGGAUUACAAUGCUCGGACUACUGAUAAGACUGGUUAUGUUAUUCCUGUCGAAAUUACAGUAUAUAAAGUGAGUUUUUUCGGUUUUGUAAGUGAAGGGUGUUAGUUUAAUAAAUCUAUUGUAUUGGGUAGGUAGUCUCAGUGUUUGUAACUUUUUUCAGGAUUUGAGUUUCACUUUUAUCUUGAAGACUCCACCUGCUUCAGUCUUGUUGCUGAAAGCCGCAGGUACUCUUGUUUUAUCGUUUUUGGUUCUCUCCAUGUAUGUUAUGAAUUUAUUUUACACUGCUAAUGGUAUUUUUAUCCAAUUUCAUCGCAUUAUACAAAUGCUAAUGGCUUUUUAUUGUAAUUGAAUCAAUGAAUAUCUUCCAGCUUUCAACUUUAUUUGUGUAAAUACGUAUUCCUCAAAGCUCCUGCCCCACCUUUUUUUUGUGUGAUGUAAUAAUCAAUUCAGCCCUUUUUCUGCCUCAAAGCUGCUGCCAAUGCUGUGUUUCUGUUCCUGUAUAUAUAUGUAAUUGAUUUCAACAACAGGCAGCCGUUUCGGGCAGUGCUACGUAAAGAGGGUCUCAUGGCCCUGUUUUCCAGUGCCCCCCUGUUGGCAGGGUGCCGGUGGCCUGGAAAAAACGGGGCCUAUGUGGUCCUAUUUGAGAGGAUUUAUUCCUUUAUUUUUCCUCAACCACCCGAAAUUUUUGACUUGGAAAAGAGACUCCCCAAAAUCAGCCGCCGUUUUUCUUGUGAGUAUAUAUUCUCCGGAGUUUGCUGGAAGAACAGGGGCCCUGACAGGCACCCUGACCGAACCCCACCAAUAGGUGGGGGUCCCUUUUUUUGCGUGGGACCCACCCCCAUGGGUGGGGUUCGGUCAUGGGGCCUGACAGGCCACCUGUUCUUCCAGCAAAAUUCAUUUUCUCCAGCAAACUGCCUGAAAUUCUGCCUGUUUUCUAUUGAAAGAAUGUAUCAAUUCAGCCCCCAAAAAUCUGAUGCCGUUUUCUGUUGUAAUAUAUAAUUUAUUUUAUUUUUUUAUAACUAUGGGUGUCCGGACCAGCUUACAUUUAUCUCGACUAAUUUCACGUGAUCCUAAAGUUUACAGUCGCAUACUCACCUUAGUGACCGGACUUGAAUUAGUGAUCAUUGAGGGAGCAAAUCUAAAUUCUGACCAUUAAACUACCCCUCAAGGUUUUUGUAAUAUAUAAUUACAUUUAGAAAACUUGUAUAUAGCCUAUGACAAAUAAAGAUUUCAUAUUUUACUAGGUAAAUGAAAUAUAACUAAAUAUACUAACAUAAAUCUAAACUAUAUUAAAAAAUACGAACUUCUAAAUAGGAUUCUAAAAUUCAUUUGUAACUGAUAUUAUAUAUGAAUUAUGCUGAUUCCACGUUCCACAUUCAAUGACACUUGCAAAAUAGAUAGGAUUUCAAAUGAAAAUGGGAUGGUAGCCACGUCCAUUUAGAGAAACAAAUCGUACAUCUUCUAGUGAUUCUAUCUAUCAAGAAACGUCUUAUAGGAUUGAGGAUGAGAUUUCCUAUGAGAUAGUAUAUUAAGAUGAAUCAAAAUUAGUCCGUGCUGAUAAACUUAGUCAGUUAUAAGAAUUCUUAAAAUAAGAAAAAAUUAAAAGGGAUCCAGCGUGUAACGUCAAUUCUCGAAUUCGUUAUUCUCAUAAUCAUUCAAAAUACAGAUAGCAAAUGUUACGUGAUAACAAUAGACGAGCAGUGACUUUGGUUGUUUUUAUCCUGAAAUAAUAUUAAACUAUUUCACCCAUGUCGUAAAAACAAGUAUGCAUGACCCAUUCAUAACGACAUGGUAAAUCCAGAAGACAAAAAAUGUUGUGAGCAACGUCCUGAUUAUAAUUUUCACUAAAAUUUCAAAAAUUGAUGUUGCAUGUCUAGGAAACAUUCCAAAAUUAUAUGACAAAAGAAAUACUGGAAUUCUCUCACCCAAAGAGAUAUGAUACAAAAACUUCUACUUGAACUAUGCCAGACUAAAAUAAACAUCAAACAAAUUUUCCAAGUAAGGUUUAAUCAAUAACACCACCCUUCAUCGUCCUGUUGCACCUAACACACGGCAAUAUGAGGUUGAAAUCUAUAUUAUAUGCUUCAAUCAUAUCGGCUGGACCUAAAAGCUCUGUGCCUGCAUUGGCUCAUAAAUGGCUCCGCCCUUGUUUUUCCCCUCCUUUUUAGAAAUCGGAAAAAUUGUCGUUUGCAUAUGAAAUAUAAAGUAUUUCAUACAAUACCAUACAUAUUUUAAAAUUAUAAUUUUCUUGUAGUGACAAUACCAUACAUAUUUUAAAAUUACAAUAUACUAUACAUUUCACAUGAUAUGAACUACCAAGUGCAACUUAGUCCUUAUUUGAUGACCAAGUGCAAUUUAGUCCUUAUUUGAGGACUUCUAAGUGCAAUUUAAAUUUAAUGCUAAUAAUAAAAAGUGUGAUGUGAAUAUAAUUAUCUUAAAUUAUUUCCUUUCUUGGUAGAGUUGAUCACAUUUAAUUGUUAGAUAUUCCCCCAAAUAUCUAGUAACUUAGGAAUAAAACUUGGGCAGAAGUGUUAUCAGAAUUUUUUUUUUUUUUUUUGGGGGUCACCCUGAAAUUUUUAUCUAUCUUGAUUUUGUAUCCAAAAUAUAUAUUUAGUUUAUUUCCCAAGAGGUUUGACUAUUUUAAUUUAGCCUCUGAUUGGCCUCCAUUUUGAUAAUUCUUUUUUUUUUUUUUUAACAAAUUCAUUUUUAAUCACACAUUCUUUCAAUAAUAUAAUUUUAUACAUAUUCCUUCUUUUUCGAGACCGUUUGGACUGCAUGCUCGAUCCCUAUUAGGACAUUUACUUGAUUCCUCCACAUUCAUCUUUGGCAACUUGAAACUUCUUAAGGUAUUGGAAUUUUCAAGCAUGGACUGCAGAUUUUAUAAUUCAACACGAGUAGAGUAUUUGAUUCUCUUAAAGUUCUUGGCAGUCUCUUCUAUACCAUCAUUAAUAGAGAGAUUUGAGAACCUAGAAUUUCUUUUUGUGGAUAAUAGUGAGACUAUUGAAAUAACAUAGAACCUUUUUAUUAUGGUGAAGUUAAGGCAUGUAUUUCAACGGUGGUGCACAAUUCAAUAAAUCUUGGCAUGGGUGAGCAGCUAAGGGAGAGACAUUCCCAGAAAGUAGCCUACAAAGAAUUUAUUUUGUUUCCAUUUAUGAUGAUAAUGAUGAGAAAAUUUUGAGAUACUCACCUACUCUUCAAAGGCUGAAAUGCAAAUUUGCAGUAAUUAUUGAUCUAUUAAAAAACAAUUAUCGCUAUUCUAUCUUGAAUUUCCUUGGUUAGCUGGAAUCCCUCAGCAUAUCUUUUCGUUAGAGUUAUGAUAUGGAUGACUUCUGUUUCGAUUUGACGAGUUUACCCUUGAAUUUGAGAAGGUUGACUCUCAGUGACUUUAAUUUUUCUUUAAAACAAUUGGAGAUAAUUGGAAAACUACUGAGCCCGAGGUUCUCAAGUUAGGGGAUGGUAUCAUUGAGGAAAAUGAAGGUGAAUUCAAAAAACUUAAAUUCUUGGAAUUGGAUGAAGUAGAUAUUGAACAAUGGAAUGCUUGGAACGAUCAUUUUCCUAAACAUGAAAGAUUAUUGUUGCGAAACUGCCAGCUUUUGGAGAUUCCUUUUGACUUAGAGUAUUGUCCGUCUCUACAAAAGAUUGAGUUAUCUAGUAGCAAAAAUCUGUUGAAAACUCUGUUUGGAAGAUUAAAGAAGUGUAAAAUGAUUACAACAAUGAUGUUGAAGUCAUUAUCAACCACUCCUGACAAGAGUUUUCGUUCUGAUUUAUGUAUUUUAGCUUUCAACAAUAUUUUUUUGGAGGUCUCCUCUUAACAUUCAGACUUGGCAUAGUACUCUGUUUUUUACUUCUUGCAUUCUCUGGUGAGAAUGAACAUCAGAGUGCAAGAAAUAAAAACGAAGUAUUAUGCUAUGUUUGAAUGUUGAGAGAAGAGACCUUCAAAAUUUUUUUGUUCAAAGUUAAAAUACGUAAAUCAAAAAGAAAACUCUUGUCAAAAGUGGUAGAUAAUGAUUUCAACAUCAUUGUUGUAAUCAUUUUGUACUUCUUUAAUCUUCCAAGCAGAUUCUUCAACAGAUUUUUUACAACCAUGUACCUCAAAUCUUUUUUAGAGAGACAAUACUCUAAAUCAGAAGGAUUUCCAAAAGCUUGUAGCUUCGCAACACUAACCUUUCAAGUUUGGGAAAAUGAUCGUUCGAGGCAUUCCAUUGCUCUAUUUGUACUUCAUCAAGAUCUAAGAAUUUAAGUUUUUGAAUUCUCCUUCAUUUGCGUCCCAUCUUUUUUUCUCAAUGGUACUAUCACGUAACUUGAGAACCUCGAGUUCAGGUAGUUUUCCAAUUAUUUCCAUUUGUUUCAAACUAAAAUUAAAGUCAAUAAGAGUCAACCUUCUCAAAUUCAAGGGUAAGUUGGUCAAAUCGGGAUUUGGGGUCAUUUAUAGCAUAACUUCGACGGAAAGAUAUGCUGAGAGAUUCCAGCUGACCAAGGAAAUUCAAGAUAUGAUAGCGAUAGUUGUUUUUUGAUGAAUCAAAAAAUACUGCAAAUUUGUAUUUCAGUGUUCGGAGAUUAGGUGAGUAUAUCAAGAUUUUCUUAUCAUUUUCAUCAUAAAUGGAAACAAAAGGAAAUUCUUUGUAGGCUACUUGCUCUAGGCUCUGUGGGAUACAACAAAAUACUGAAGUUACUCGUUCUUGGGUUCCGUCAAGAACCAGCAGGUUGGAACGUCAUCCAAGUUUCACCACAUUACCAGGUGGUCCUGGUCUAUCAGUGUUCCAUCACAUUCAAAGGAAGAGGGUAUUCGUCCGUCAUUUGUAAGCGCUGUGCAAUUCAACACUGAAUCUUCGGGGAAGAUGAACCUGAAGAGGCCUAUUGAAGCUUCAAUAACUGAUCACUGCAACAAAAAAGAAGGUGGUGCUCACAUAAGGGCCAUAGGCAAGUCACAUUACUGUUAGUAAUAUUGAUUACUAAUUUUCAUCACUACAGUAAUAUUUGUUCACACAAUCCCAUCAUAUUUUAUUUUGAAUGUAAGAAACAUCUUUACAUUGUUGAGGCAGUUAUAACUCAAGUCUCUGGUUGAAUAGGAGAUUACAUGCACUGCAACACCUGGUAGUCUGGAGAAGAAAGCCCAUUGAAUAUUUGAUCACUGCGAUGUGAAGGAUAGAUGCUUUGUACGUUGAUAACUCAGGUCGGCCGACUGUGAGAGAUAGAAUCGUGUGCAGCGAUGUAGAGGCUCUCUCUUAUGUUGUUCCUUGUCUUAUGGUGAAGAUAAAUGCAUGGCACCCCAAGACAAUCGACGGCAUUAAAUGGCAAACCACUUGAUCUGAAGAUUGUGACUGACAUACCACAAGAUGAUCAUGGGUCAGUACUUUGUCUAAUCUAUUUCUGUGAUGUUGGAAUAUUUAUCUUAUUGAUUCACGGAAAUGAACUAGGAUAUCUUUUUCUUUCUUUUAUUUUCCCCUAGGUGAGUAAUACUUAGUAACAUAC
rnacentral:lncRNA from 1 species